rnacentral:rRNA from 1 species
GCGCGUGGCGGCGUGCCUAACACAUGCAAGUCGACGGUGAUGACUGAAAGUUUUCGGAUGGACUUCAUCAUAGUGGCGGACGGGUGAGUAACGCGUGGAUAACCUGCCUCGUACUGGGGAAUAGCAGCUGGAAACGGCUGGUAAUACCGCAUAAGCGCACGAUGCCGCAUGACAUUGUGUGAAAAGAUUUAUCGGUACGAGAUGGAUCCGCGUCUGAUUAGCCAGUUGGCGGGGUAACGGCCCACCAAAGCGACGAUCAGUAGCCGGCCUGAGAGGGUGAACGGCCACAUUGGGACUGAGACACGGCCCAGACUCCUACGGGAGGCAGCAGUGGGGAAUAUUGCACAAUGGGCGAAAGCCUGACGCAGCGACGCCGCGUGAGGGAUGAAGGUCCUCGGAUCGUAAACCUCUGUCAGGAGGGAAGAACCGCCACGGUGCUAAUCAGCCGUGGUCUGACGGUACCUCCAAAGGAAGCACCGGCUAACUCCGUGCCAGCCGCCGC